rnacentral:rRNA from 1 species
UACGAAGGGGGCUAGCGUUGCUCGGAAUCACUGGGCGUAAAGGGUGCGUAGGCGGGUCUUUAAGUCAGGGGGGAAAUCCUGGAGCUCAACUCCAGAACUGCCUUUGAUACUGAAGAUCUUGAGUUCGGGAGAGGUGAGUGGAACUGCGAGUGUAGAGGUGAAAUUCGUAGAUAUUCGCAAGAACACCAGUGGCGAAGGCGGCUCACUGGCCCGAUACUGAUGCUGAGGCACGAAAGCGUGGGGAGCAAACAGG